rnacentral:pre_miRNA from 1 species
AUGAGAAUAACAGUGCAGCUCUCCUCUGGCAUGGAGGCAAAGCAAAGCACUUUAAACUCAAAACUUUGCUUAGCAGUCCCUGCCAAAGGAGAAUUGCCCUGCUAUUCUACC